UAUAUAAUCACUGAGAGCAAUCCAGCAAGAGAACAGCCUUCUGCAAAGGGAGCAGGGAGGUUUGGAAGGCUGUGCCCAUACUCAGCUCUCCUGAUACAGUGUUGGCACUGCUGGGCUGUAUGACUGUUCCCUUGCCAAUGAGGGCUCUCCUCCUCAUUUGAAAGAAAUUGCGUCUAUUCCGACUUCCUGUUUUGAACAUGUGCAUAACAUAGAAGUGAAACACAACCACCUUCAGCAGUCCCUAUGAAAGAUUUUGUUCUGCUCAUUUUUUGGUAAGUUGUGUCUUUUCUUCUUAUACAGAAUGGACAAUGCAGGGCACAACAAAGCUGGCAGAUUUGGCCACCCCUUGAGGUGCACGUAUCUUUGUAAUUCUGGCAAGGGUCAAAUACGGGAGGAUCUAUCAUCACUGUGGCUACUAUUGAGAGAAAGGCAGUCUUCAGGAAACAAAACAAAAGGACACAUCUUU